rnacentral:misc_RNA from 1 species
GAUGAAGAACGCAGCGAAAUGCGAUAAGUAGUGUGAAUUGCAGAAUUCAGUGAAUCAUCGAAUCUUUGAACGCACAUUGCGCCCCUUGGUAUUCCAUGGGGCAUGCCUGUUCGAGCGUCAUUUGUACCUUCAAGCUUUGCUUGGUGUUGGGUGUUUGUCUCGCCUCCGCGUGUAGACUCGCCUCAAAACAAUUGGCAGCCGGCGUAUUGAUUUCGGAGCGCAGUACAUCUCGCGCUUUGCACUCACAACGACGACGUCCAAAAGUACAUUUUUACACUCUUGACCUCGGAUCAGGUAGGGAUACCCGCUGAACUUAAGCAUACAAUAAGCGGAGGA